UGAAUUGUGGUCUCCCAAGAAGACGGGCUCC
rnacentral:piRNA from 1 species